rnacentral:rRNA from 1 species
ACGGGUGAGGAACACGUAGGAACCUACCCUCAAGGGGGGGACAACCAAGGGAAACUUUGGCUAAUACCGCAUAAACUCGAGAGAGGAAAGUCACCUGAAAGGGAGACGCUUGAGGAAGGGCCUGCGUCCGAUUAGCUAGUUGGUGAGGUAAAGGCUCACCAAGGCGAUGAUCGGUAACUGGUCUGAGAGGACGGCCAGUCACACUGGGACUGAGACACGGCCCAGACUCCUACGGGAGGCAGCAGUGGGGAAUCUUGGACAAUGGGGGCAACCCUGAUCCAGCGAUGCCGCGUGGGUGAAGAAGGCCUUCGGGUUGUAAAGCCCUUUAGGUUGGGAAGAAGGGUGUACGGUGAAUAGCCGUGCAUUUUGACUGUACCGACAGAAUAAGCACCGGCAAACUCUGUGCCAGCAGCCGCGGUAAUACAGAGGGUGCAAGCGUUAAUCGGAGUUACUGGGCGUAAAGGGCGCGUAGGCGGUAAGAUGUGUGUGAUGUGAAAGCCCCGGGCUCAACCUGGGAAGUGCAUCGCAACCUAUCUACUAGAGUAUAUGAGAGGGUGGCGGAAUUUCCCGGU